GACUGCUAUCGGAUGAUACUAAGCCAUGCGAGUCUUUGUAGUAAUACAAGGCAGACGGCUCAGUAACACGUAGUCAACCUACCCUAUGGACAAGAAUAAUCUCGGGAAACUGGGCAUAAUUCUUGAUAGAUCAUAAUGCCUGGAAUGGUUUAUGGUUAAAAUGAUUCGUCGCCAUAGGAUGGGACUGCGGCCUAUCAGCUUGUUGGUGAGGCAAUGGCCCACCAAGGCGAUUACAGGUACGGGCUCUGAGAGGAGAAGCCCGGAGAUGGGUACUGAGACACGGACCCAGGCCCUAUGGGGCGCAGCAGGCGAGAAAACUUUGCAAUGUGCGAAAGCACGACAAGGUUAAUCCGAGUGAUUUCUGCUAAAGAAAUCUUUUGCCAGUCAUAAAACCACUGGUGAAUAAGGGGUGGGCAAGUUCUGGUGUCAGCCGCCGCGGUAAAACCAGCACCUCAAGUGGUCAGGAUGAUUAUUGGGCCUAAAGCAUCCGUAGCCGGCUUUGUUAGUUUUCGGUUAAAUCCAUGUGCUCAACGCAUGGGCUGCCGAAAAUACUGCAUAGCUAGGGAGUGGGAGAGGUAGACGGUACUCAGUAGGAAGGGGUAAAAUCCUUUGAUCUAUUGAUGACCACCUGUGGCGAAGGCGGUCUACCAGAACACGUUCGACGGUGAGGGAUGAAAGCUGGGGGAGCAAACCGGAUUAGAUACCCGGGUAGUCCCAGCUGUAAACGAUGCAGACUCGAUGAUGCAUUGGCAUAAUAGCCAGUGCAGUGUCGCAGGGAAGCCGUUAAGUCUGCCGCCUGGGAAGUACGUACGCAAGUAUGAAACUUAAAGGAAUUGGCGGGGGAGCACCA
rnacentral:rRNA from 1 species